rnacentral:rRNA from 1 species
UACGAAGGGGCUAGCGUUGCCCGGAAUUACUGGGCGUAAAGCGCACGUAGGCGGUCUUUUAAGUCGGGGGUGAAAUCCUGGAGCUCAACUCCAGAACUGCCUCGAUACUGGAAGACUUGAGUCCGGGAGAGGUGAGUGGAACUCCUAGUGUAGAGGUGGAAUUCGUAGAUAUUAGGAAGAACACCAGUGGCGAAGGCGGCUCACUGGUCCGGUACUGACGCUGAGGUGCGAAAGCGUGGGGAGCAAACAGG